GUUUGAUCCUGGCUCAGAACGAACGCUGGCGGCAGGCCUAACACAUGCAAGUCGAGCGCACCUUCGGGUGAGCGGCGGACGGGUUAGUAACGCGUGGGAACGUACCCUUUUCUAAGGAAUAGCCACUGGAAACGGUGAGUAAUACCUUAUACGCCCUUCGGGGGAAAAUUUAUCGGAGAAGGAUCGGCCCGCGUUAGAUUAGAUAGUUGGUGGGGUAACGGCCUACCAAGUCUACGAUCUAUAGCUGGUUUUAGAGGAUGAUCAGCAACACUGGGACUGAGACACGGCCCAGACUCCUACGGGAGGCAGCAGUGGGGAAUCUUAGACAAUGGGCGCAAGCCUGAUCCAGCCAUGCCGCGUGAGUGAUGAAGGCCUUAGGGUCGUAAAGCUCUUUCGCUGGGGAUGAUAAUGACAGUACCCAGUAAAGAAACCCCGGCUAACUCCGUG
rnacentral:rRNA from 1 species